rnacentral:ncRNA from 22 species
UUUAAUACGGAGCUUUAUGGUAUCUCUGAUUUUGAAUCAGAGAUUUAAAAGGGAAGUUUGGUUAGAAUCCAACACGGUCCCGCCACUGUGAUGAGGAGUAAAUCUAUAUGAAACCACUGUCUAGCACUUAAUAAUAUUGAGUGCUGGAUGGGAAGGUGUAGAUUUAUGAUGAUCCUAAGUCAGGAGACCUGCCAUAGAGAACAAUGCCGUA